rnacentral:lncRNA from 10 species
UGAGCACCUCGUGACCUUGCUGGGAGUGUGUCUGAUCAGCCGCUUCCCUUGUGACCAAAUAUUUGGUCAUGGCAGCAGGAGAGAAUUCCAUCAGUGGACAGCUCUAUUUUUAAGGCUCUGGCUUUGUUUUCUCUUUCCUGAGAGGCAGUCCCUGCAGCAGGCUUGAGCCUCUCUCACUGACAGCCUGCCUCGCAUAAUGUUAAGCAGGCAUCGGACACUUGCUGGAAGGCAGGGAAUUGCAAUGAAAGAGCACGGAGGUGAGAAGCUGUGCUCCUUGGGGUGAAGGCAGCUUCUGUGCUCCUGGGAUCUACUGUUAAGCCAGGGUGACGCCAGCUUGCAUGCUACCGGAGGGUUUUGGUUCAUUGAGAGCAGUUCGCAGUCCCACCCUCCUGCCUUUGACCAUGACCAUAUGACUUCCUUGGCCAAUGUGACAUGAACAGACACGUGCCAGAAGCUUUAAACGUGUGUGUGGAGUUUCUGCCCAUCCUCUUUCCCUCCUGCCCUCAGCCAUGACGAGAGCAUGCCCCGCGAGUCACUGGGCCCAGAAUGAAGAGACAUAUGGGACACACUUAAGCCCUAGUGUCACUCUGGAGCCCAGCCGGCCGAGCAGCAGCUGAUGAGCAGUAGCUUAUCCAUGAAUGAAAUCUAAAUGAAUGUGAUUUCAGCCACAGAAAUUUGGGAGAGAUGAGUCUUUGGCUCAGCAGAAUGGGCCUAGGUGGAGCUUGAAAUUAAUGAAGAGAUGCUGCUUCCAGCUUUUUGAGCAAGAAGAAGUUUGGCCUCCAGUUAUUACACCUUGAGGUCAGCGGGUAUCUCAAGUCUGAGUAGUUAUAAAAGUGAGCUGAUGUAGAAACACCACCAAAGCAACGUUUUAUCUAAAUAUUUCAGAUCCCCCAUUAUAAAUCAUUUAUUAUGAUUACCCUUUUGGUGUCAUGGAAUGAGAUGAUGAGCUUUUCUUAAUGAAGUAUUUCAUAGACAUAUUUUUUCCAUUUAUCUUGGUGUUGGAUGCUAUGUGACCUGAAUGGCAAAUGAGGAAAUAUUUGUGCAACUCCUGAAAUGCACACAUCUCCCCAUGCCAGAGUGCAGGAGCGGACAGGGCUUUCCCUGGCAGCAAUAGGAGCCCGGUCCUGAGUAGGGCCUCUCCAGCCUGACUGCACCAUAGCAGGUGACAUCUGACUUGGGGUGUGCCAUGUUCCCAGAGCUGCUUUUUUAAGGAGUUUGGUGGGAGCUGGAGGAAGCAUCCACAUCUUUAAAAACAAACCUUAACUCGUGAGAAGAAAAGUGGUAAACAUUCAAACACAAUUUGAACUUUUAAUUUAGCCUUGUGAGUUCAUCUAUAUCCAUUUCCAGGAAAGGUCAUGGGCUGAGGUGUGGUGCUUCACUGAAAUAAAUGCACUUUGGAGUUGACAGUAACCAAGCAAGGCCAGGGACCCUGAGGAGACCCCUCCCCACACUUGCAAUGAUCAAACAUGCUACAUCUUAGAAAUUGGAUCUGCCGGUUUAUGGCAACUUGACGUAAAAUGUGUAUCUCAGGUCAGGCUGAUCUGAUUUAAAUAUCUUAGUGUUAGGCAUUCUCUAUCUGACAUUGUGAAAACGCAUAUAAUGGAACCAAGAUUAGAAUAUCAAGAUGACAAGAAGGAUUGUACCUUGAAGACAGUAAAAGUCACUUGCAUUCUGGGGUUACACAUUUAAUUUAAAAUAGUUUUAUUCCCUGUUCCUAGGGUCCUUGUAACUCUCUCCUCUGCUAUAUUUAUAUUAAAUAAAUAAUUUUAAAUGAGUCAAAGUGUCUUGCUCCUUGGCCCACUAUAGAAUGUCAGUGUUCCUUUUCAAUAUUUCUACUUCUUAGAUCCUGCCUUCACCACAAUGGGGGUUCAUACAGGGUUGGAGUAGGUUGUUCUUCUCACCAAGUUCCCAAGCCCACAUAAAAUGGCAGCAUCAUAUUUCACCGGACCCAGCUCUGCAGAAAGUAGUGGAAAAAAAAGUCUGUGAUGGACUUAGGACCCAAGGAGGCAAAACAGAGUUUGGCUUUUCCCUUAGGGCUCUGUAUAUGUCAAAGAGGACCACACAUGGGCCAAGUGACGUGCAUAUUGUGCCUGGGUGAUGCUGCCCCAGCUUCUACCCACCAUGGAUGGGACCAACAAAUGCUUCCCAGCUGAGAGGCAGUCACAGUGCCAGGGUGAUCACAAAAUUGCCCAGUUGGAUGAAGACUACCCAGAAACUGGAGGAUAACCUCACCCACUCUCAGCUACCAGUAGGGUCAAUAGUAAGCCAGAAGUGAAAGCUUUCUUUCCAUUGCCUCUUACUUUGUUUCCCCAUGUCACAGUCAGCUAUACCUUCCUAAGCCAUAACUCUGAUCAUGCCCCCUGCCCCCGUUUCAGACCCUUCAGAAGCUUCACUUUGUCUCUGGAAUGAACUGGAGCAUCCGCUUCUCAGCCUCUGAGGCCCCACGUGCACUGCACCCGCCCUUCCUCAGCCUCCCCAUCACAUGGCUCUUUCCAAACCCAUGGGCUGAGCCUGCUCUCAGGGCCUCCAUGUGCCACCCUCUGCUCAGCCUCAGAGUUUCCACGUGUGUCUUAGCCUCCUGUUCUGUGCUGCAAUAACAGAAUACCUGAGACCAGGUGGUUUAUAAAUAAUGGAAAUAUAUUUCUUACAGUUCUGGAGGCUGGAAAAUCUAAGAUCAAAAUGCCAACAGGUUUGGUGUCUGGUGAGGGCCCACUCUCCACUUCCAAGACGAUGCCUUGAACACUGCAUCCUCCAGCGUGGAGGAAACACAGUUCCUCACAUGUCAGAAGAACAAAAGAGGAAAGAGAGAGCCCACUCUCAAAAGCCCUUUUGUUUAAGGUAUUAAACCCACCAUGAGGGAAGAGCCUACAUGGCCUUACCACCUGUUAAAGGCUUCACCUCCCAAGACCAUUACAUUGGCAAUUACAUUUCAACAUCAACCUUCAGGCCUCCACUUAAGCGAGUUCUGACGUCAGUGAAUACUUCUGCAGCAUGGAAGUGCCAGGACCCUCGUUGGCCCCUGAUGGCCAAAUAGCCUCACUCUCCAUUAGAAGAGAAAGCCUCACUCUCCAUUAGAAGGCCAGGAGAGCGAAAUCAGGGAUUGCUUUCAAAACAAACAGUGUGGCAAUAAAGAAUUUCAG